AAGACCUUCUUACGAAGGUAUGCUUAAAGAGGGGCUUGCGCCACAUUAGUUAGUUGGUAGGGUAAAAGCCUACCAAGACGAUGAUGUGUAGCUGGACUGAGAGGUUGAACAGCCACAUUGGGACUGAGACACGGCCCAAACUCCUACGGGAGGCAGCAGUAGGGAAUUUUCGGCAAUGGAGGAAACUCUGACCGAGCAACGCCGCGUGAACGAUGAAGUAUUUCGGUAUGUAAAGUUCUUUUAUUGAAGAAGAAAAAGUAGUGGAAAAACUAUAUUGACGUUAUUCAAUGAAUAAGCCCCGGCUAACUAUGUGCCAGCAGCCGCGGUAAGACAUAGGGGGCGAGCGUUAUCCGGAAUUAUUGGGCGUAAAGGGUGCGUAGGCUGUUAGAUAAGUCUAUAAUUUAAUUUCAGUGCUUAACGCUGUCUUGUUAUAGAAACUGUCUUGACUAGAGUGAGAUAGAGGCAAGCGGAAUUCCAUGUGUAGCGGUAAAAUGUGUAAAUAUAUGGAGGAACACCAGAAGCGUAGGCGGCUUGCUGGGUCUUUACUGACGCUGAGGCACGAAAGCGUGGGUAGCAAACAGGAUUAGAUACCCUGGUAGUCCACGCCGUAAACGAUGAGUACUAAGUGUCGGGGUAAAACUCGGUACUGAAGUUAACACAUUAAGUACUCCGCCUGAGUAGUACGUACGCAAGUAUGAAACUUAAAGGAAUUGACGGGACUCCGCACAAGCGGUGGAUCAUGUUGUUUAAUUCGAAGAUACACGAAAAAUCUUACCAGGUCUUGACAUACUCUGCAAAGCUAUAGAAAUAUAGUGGAGGUUAUCAGGGAUACAGGUGGUGCAUGGUUGUCGUCAGUUCGUGUCGUGAGAUGUUAGGUUAAGUCCUAAAACGAGCGCAACCCUUGUCGUUAAUUGCCAGCACGUAAUGGUGGGGACUUUAGCGAGACUGCCAAUUAAACAUUGGAGGAAGGUGAGGAUUACGUCAAAUCAUCAUGCCCCUUAUGAUCUGGGCUACAAACGUGAUACAAUGGCUGUGACAAAGAGUAGCUGAAACGCGAGUUUUUAGCCAAUCUCAAAAAAGCAGUCUCAGUUCGGAUUGAAGUCUGUAACUCGACUUCAUGAAGUUGGAAUCGCUAGUAAUCGCGAAUCAGCAUGUCGCGGUGAAUACGUUCUCGGGGUUUGUACACACCGCCCGUCAAACCACGAA
rnacentral:rRNA from 1 species